GUCAGGGUUGAUUUCAGGGUCACGAACUCGAUAUUUUCGAGAACGACACUCUAACCCCGUAUCUUAGUUCGAUGGAAUUCGGGAUGACCAUCAACCCAUCGUAUUUCUAUCCCGAUCUGCAGUGUAAUAAACGAGCCUGAUUUUGACCGUCUACGAUCAUUUUUUCCUAAAAUAAAAUAAAGAAACGAAAUCGGAAUAUACGAAGGAAAGCGAAAAAGAAAAUGCUAA
rnacentral:lncRNA from 1 species